rnacentral:rRNA from 1 species
UACGUAGGGGGCAAGCGUUGUCCGGAAUCAUUGGGCGUAAAGCGCGCGUGAGCGGCCCGGUAAGUCCGCUGUGAAAGUCAAAGGCUCAACCUUUGAAUGUCAGCGGAUACUGCCGGGCUAGAGUCCGGAAGAGGCGAGUGGAACUCCUGGUGUAGCGGUGGAAUGCGCAGAUAUCAGGAAGAACACCAACGGCGAAGGCAGCUCGCUGGGACGGAACUGACGCUAAGGCGCGAAAGCGUGGGGAGCGAACAGG